rnacentral:lncRNA from 1 species
AAACUACCAGAUACAAUAUACUGAUAAUUCCUGGGUUUUUUUCAAUGAUUUUUAUUCUCGCAAUUGCGUGUCAGAUUGGCUUUGUUCUGUCUAAAUGUGUAUGAAUUUUGCUGUGAUAUGGGAUGGAAGGCCUCUGAAAGUAGACAAACCAGAAAAUGAGAAUGAAUAACUUUCCACCACGCGUUUCAGACAAGUUACCAGAAUCAGUAAUUCUUAAUUUCUGAUGAAGACACUCGAAAUGCGUUGUAAGUUAUUCAUUAUUAUCCACGCCUUUUGCUUUGGGAAGGCAUUCAGUAAUAAGAGCAACCUCAUAGCGGAGCUAAAUCAAUUCAAAGAAUAAUAAACUUUUACAUGUACUCUGGCAAAAUAGAACUUGAACUGGCACCAUUUGUGACGAAAAAUGAUAGUAAACUGUCAGGAAGGUCUACAAGCUCACUAUUGCCAGUAGCAUAGGAUUCGUUGGCUAUUGCCAGAACGCCAAUAGAUGUCGAGAAUGGAACACAAUGUAACAGAUAUAACCAGACAAAGAAGACCAAUGGUUUUAAUCAACUACAGGGUCUGCAGUCAGCAUCAUGUAGUCACAUAUGUCCAGAUAUAGAUGUACCAGAUAGGACAUGAUUUGAUUUUAAUUUUUUUUCUAUAACAAAACUUAUUGCAAGCUCAUCAUUUCAAAAUUUUUGUUAUGUAGAGAGAGUUGUAGAAACGGACUGCAUUCUUCCUUAUCUCUAAAUUUUAUGAUAAUUUUGUCUUUUGAUAAUGUCAUGGAGAUCUUAUUUGCUAUAAGCCAUGAUUAUGAAUCAUUUUGGUUGGUAGGUAUGCUUUCCAGUCUACAUGUGAUGUAACAUUGAUGAAUGUACUUAACAGUUUGUAAAUUCAGACAUGUACUCAUAUUAUGUUAAAAAAAAAAAAACUUUCAGGUUCUUUUAAUGAACCUGUUGAUAUCUUUCAAUUAGUAGACUUGCAUAAUAUUACUUACAGUACCUUAGAAUGUAUCAAUAAUGAUGACUCACUAACUAUAUUUUGUUAUCCAAAAUACAUAUGUAUUUUUUUGUCAGUAUUAUAAUUCUUGUUUAAUUGAAAUAUAUAAGGCUGCAUGAUCAAUAUGAUCAAUUUAGGUAUUCAUGAAAAAGAAUAAAUGCUGUAAUAUU